UACGGGGGGAGCAAGCGUUGUUCGGAUUUACUGGGCGUAAAGGGCGCGUAGGCGGCCACCGCAAGUCGACUGUGAAAUCUCCGGGCUUAACCCGGAAAGGUCAGCCGAUACUGCGGGGCUAGAGUGCAGAAGGGGCAACUGGAAUUCUCGGUGUAGCGGUGAAAUGCGUAGAGAUCAUGAGGAAGACCAGUGGCGAAGGCGGGUCUCGUGGACAGUUCCUGACACUGAGGCACGAAGGCCAGGGGAGCAAACGGG
rnacentral:rRNA from 1 species